rnacentral:rRNA from 1 species
UUUUACCUACGGGGGGCAGCAGUGGGGAAUUUUGCGCAAUGCUCGUAAGAGUGACGCAGCGACGCCGCGUGAAUGACGAAGGCCUUCGGGUCGUAAAGUUCUUUCGACAGGGAAGAAAAUGCCUAUAAGUAACUGUGUAUGUAUUGACGGUACCUGUAUAAGCAGCCCCGGCUAACUCCGUGCCAGCAGCCGCGGUAAUACGGAGGGGGCGAGCGUUGUUCGGAGUGACUGGGCGUAAAGAGCACGUAGGCGGUGUUGUAAGUCAUUAGUCAAAGACUAGAGCUCAACUUUAGGAAGGCUAGGGG